rnacentral:lncRNA from 1 species
GGUCCUAAGUGCCACUAUCUGUGCUGAGUUUUUCAAAGGUCAGAGCAGAUUGAACCAUUGUGGUUUCAUUUUCCCUGAUUUUGAUUUUUCUUAUGGGGAACCUGUGUGGCUGCAUUCAAGGUGACUCGAAGAAGCCUUCCAAAAAGCGUGUGAAAAGGAAGCCCUACUCUACUACCAAGGUGACUUCAGGGAGCACAUUCAAUGAGAAUACAAGAAGAUAUGCUGUGCACACCAACCAGUGUAGGAGACCUCAUGGCUCCCGGGUAAAGAAGAAGAGGUACCCACAAGAAGAUGACUUCCAUCAUACAGUCUUCAGCAACCUUGAAAGAUUGGACAAGCUUCAGCCCACUCUUGAAGCCUCUGAGGAGUCUCUAGUUCACAAGGACAGAGGAGAUGGAGAGAGGCCAGUCAACGUGAGGGUGGUGCAGGUGGCCCCUCUGAGGCGUGAAUCUACUCCCCAUGAGGACACCGUACACAACAUCACUAACGAGGAUGCCUCACACGAUAUCACUAACGAGGACGCUGUCCACGGCAUCGCUAACGAGGCCGCCGCCCAGGGCAUCGCCAACGAGGACGCCGCCCAGGGCAUCGCCAACGAGGACGCCGCCCACGGAAUCGCCAGCGAGGACGCCGCCCAGGGCAUCGCCAACGAGGUCGCCGCCCAGGGCAUCGCCAACGAGGACGCCGCCCAGGGCAUCGCCAACGAGGACGCCGUCCAUGGCAUCGCCAACGAGGACGCUGCCCACGGCAUUGCUAACGAGGAUGCCGUGCACGGCAUCGCUAAUGAGGACUCCGUAUACGACAUCGCUAAUGAGGAUGCCAUAUAUGACAUCGCUAAUGACACCGUACAAGGCACGCUAACGAGGAUGCUGUACACGACAUCGCUAAUGAGGACACCAUACAAGGCAUCGGUAAUGAGGACGUUGUAUAUGACAUCGCUAACAAGGACACUCUACAAGCCGUCGCUAACAAGGACACUGUACACAACAUCGCUAAUGACGGCACCGUACAAGACAUCACCAAUGAGGGCGCUUUAUACGACAUUGCUAAUGAUACCGACAAGGCACGCUAACGCGGACACUGUACACGACAUCGCUAAUGAGGACUCCGUAUACGACAUCGCUAAUGAGGGUGCCGUAUAUGACAUCGCUAAUGACACCGUACAAGGCACGCUAACGAGGACGCUGUACACGACAUCGCUAAUGAGGACACCAUACAAGGCAUCGGUAAUGAGGACGCUGUAUACGACAUCGCUAACGAGGACACCAUACAAGCCGUCGCUAACAAGGACACUGUACACAACAUCGCUAAUGACGGCACCGUACAAGACAUCACCAAUGAGGGCGCUUUAUACGACAUUGCUAAUGAUACCGACAAGGCACGCUAACGUGGACGCUGUACACGACAUUGCUAAUGAGGACACCGUAUAAGACAUCGCUAGUAACUAUCGCAAGAACAAAAAACCAAACACCGCAUAUUCUCACUCAUAGGUGGGAAUUGAACAAUGAGAUCACAUGGACACAGGAAGGGGAAUAUCACAUUCUGGGGACUGUUGUGGGGUGGGGGGAGGGGGGAGGGAUAGCAUCGGGAGAUAUACCUAAUGCUAGAUGAUGAGUUAGUGGGUGCAGCGCACCAGCGUGGCACAUGUAUACAUAUGUAACUAACCUGCACAAUGUGCACAUGUACCCUAAAACUUAAAGUAUAUAUAAAAAAAAAGACAUCGCUAGUGAGCACGCUGUAUACGACAUCGCUAAUGAGGACACCAUACAAGGCAUCGCUAACGAUGACGCUGUACACAACAUCACUAAUGAUGACACCGUAUAAGACAUCGCUAAUUAUGACGCUGUAUACGACAUCGCUAAUGACACCGUACGAGGCACGCUAACAAGGAUGCUGUACACAACGUCGCUAAUGAGGACAGUGUACAAGCCAUCGCUAAUGAGGACACUGUAUAUGACAUUGCUAACGAGGACACUGUACAAGGCAUUGCUAACGAGGACGCUGUACACAACAUCGCUAAUGAGGACACCAUAUAAGACAUCACCAAUGAGGAUGCUGUAUAUGACAUCGCUAAUGACACCCACAAGGCAUGCUAACGAGGACGCUGUAGACGACAUUGCUUAUAAGGACACCGUACAAGACAUCACUAACGAGGACGCUGUAUACGACAUCGCUAAUGAGGACGUUGUAUAUGACAUCGCUAAUGAGGAUGCUUUACAAGACAUAGCGAAUGAGGUUGCUGUAUAUGACAUCGCUAAUGAGGACAUUGUAUAUGACAUCGCUAAUGAGGACGCUCUAUACGACAUCACUAAUGAGGACGCUGUAUACAACAUCGCUAAUGAGGACGCUGUAUAUGGCAUCGCUAAUGAGGAUGCUGUAUACGAAUUCGCUAAUAAGGACGCUGUAUAUGACAUUGCUAAUGAGGACACUGUACAAGACAUCUGUAAAAAAGAAGAUGCUGCCAAUGAGCCAUUGACACUGGAGAAUGAUACCUACCCUGAAAUAACUCACUUCCUGAGAAAAAAGCGCCAUCUCUAGGAUUUGAUUGUGGAGAGCAUAUCUGAUGAUGGGGAUUUGUAGGACUUUAAAAAGCACUCAUGUUUCCAUCCUCACUGUUGACUCCUGGCUUAAAGGGAUCUCCCGGGGUGAGUGAGGAGGCGGGAUCGGACCCUAGCAGUCUGACGGCAGCACCUGUGUUCCUCUGCACUGGGCCGUGGAUGACAUUACACACCUUGCCACUCCCACGGUCCUGUGUGUUCCGGAUAUUUUAAAAUAAUGGCUAUAAGGCUGAGCACUUCAGGAUAUGCUGUUUUGCUGUGUGCAGAUGGAGGCAGUGGCUGGAGUGAAUGAACGGCAACACUUGCUGGCAACCGGCAGAAGCUGAGAGACAGGGAACAGGCUCUCCUCCAGAGCCUCCAGGAGCCAGGCCUUUGGACACCUUGAAUGUGGGCUUCUGGGAGACCAUGCGUUUCUGUUAUAAGCAGCCCAGUCUCUGGCAGUUUUUACGGCUGCCCCGGAACACUCAUCUAUACCUGUCUGACAAGGUCAAGCUCCAAGGAAGGGAUUCUUUACAUAUCUACAUUGUUUGCAGAUUUUACAAUAAUCAUUUAUUCUUGCAUGGCUGAUCAUUGUUAACCAAUACAAAUAAAAUAAUAAAGAAAUGACCCACAUUUU